GAUGAACGCUGGCGGCGUGCUUAACACAUGCAAGUCGAACGGGAAACCUUUUAUUUAAGCUUCGGCAGGUUUCGCUGGUUUCUAUUGGCGGACGGGGGAGUAACGCGUGGGUAACCUGCCUUAUACAGGGGGAUACCAAUCAGAAAUGGCUGCUAAUACCGCAUAAGCGCACUGAGCUGCAUGGCUCAGUGUGAAAAACUCCGGUGGUAUAAGCUGGACCCUCGUUGGAUUAUCUGGUUGGUGGGGUAACGGCCCACCAAGGGGACAAUCCAUAGCCGGCAUGAGAGGGUGAACCGCGACAUCGGGAGGGGGACACGGCCGAGACUCCUACGGGAGGCAGCAGUGGCGAAUAUUGCAACAUGGCGGAAACCCUGAUGGUGCGACGACGCGUGAAGGAAGAAGUAACGCGGUAUGUAAACUUCUAUCAGCAGGGAAGAUAAUGACGGUACCUGAUCAAGAAGCCCCGGCUAACUACGUG
rnacentral:rRNA from 1 species